rnacentral:rRNA from 1 species
UACGUAGGGUGCGAGCGUUGUCCGGAUUUAUUGGGCGUAAAGGGCUCGUAGGUGGCGUGUCGCGUCGGGAGUGAAAGCCCGUUGCUUAACGGCGGGUUGGCUUUCGGUACGGGCAUGCUGGAGUGCGGCAGGGGAGACUGGAAUUCCUGGUGUAGCGGUGGAAUGCGCAGAUAUCAGGAGGAACACCGGUGGCGAAGGUGGUUCUCUGGGCCUGUACUGACGCUGAGGAGCGAAAGCGUGGGGAGCGAACAGG